CCACCCUAUCACACCAGUCUCCUCUCAUUUCAGAAGCUAAGGAGAGUUGGGCCUAGUUUGUGCUAGGAUGAGAGGCCACCAGGUAAUAUCUGGAAUAUGCUGGU
rnacentral:rRNA from 1 species